rnacentral:rRNA from 1 species
CCUACGGGUGACAGCAGUAGGGAAUCUUCCACAAUUGGCGAAAGCCUGCUGGAGCAACGCCGCUUGGGUUAAGCAUGUCUUCGGAUCGUAAAACCCUGUUGUUAGAGAAGAAAGUGCGUGAGAGUAACUGUUCACGUUUCGACGGUAUCUAACCAGACAGCCACGGCUAACUACGUUCCAGCAGCCUCGGGAAUACGUAGGUGGCAAGCGUUAUCCGGAUUUAUUGGGCGUAACGGGAACGCAGUCGGUCUUUUAAGUCUGCUGUGAAAGCCUUCGGCUUAACCGGAGUAGUGCAUUGGAAACUGGGAGACUUGAGUGCAGAAGAGGAGAGUGGAACGCAAUGUGUAGCGGUGAAAUGCGUAGAUAUAUGGAAGAAAACCAGUGGCGAAAGCGGCUCUCUGGUCUGUAACUGACGCUGAGGUUCGAAAGCGUGGGUAGCAAACAGGAUUAGAGACCCGAGUAGUC